CGAGACGACGCUGGCGGCGCGCCUAACACAUGCAAGUCGAACGAGCGAGAGAGAGCUUGCUUUCUCGAGCGAGUGGCGAACGGGUGAGUAACGCGUGAGGAACCUGCCUCAAAGAGGGGGGACAACAGUUGGAAACGGCUGCUAAUACCGCAUAAGCGCACGGCAUCGCAUGAUGCAGUGUGAAAACUCCGGUGGUAUAAGAUGGACCCGCGUUGGAUUAGCUAGUUGGUGAGGUAACGGCCCACCAAGGCGACGAUCCAUAGCCGACCUGAGAGGGUGACCGGCCACAUUGGGACUGAGACACGGCCCAAACUCCUACGGGAGGCAGCAGUGGGGAAUAUUGCACAAUGGGCGAAAGCCUGAUGCAGCGACGCCGCGUGAGCGAAGAAGUAUUUCGGUAUGUAAAGCUCUAUCAGCAGGGAAGAUAAUGACGGUACCUGACUAAGAAGCACCGGCUAAAUACGUG
rnacentral:rRNA from 1 species